AAUGAGUGAAGAUAAAUAUUUGUCCCAGGAGAAACCAAUAAUCAUUGGUCCCUUGAAAUCACUUGCUUCUCUGAAAGUUUACACUGGCAAACUGGGCAUGAGGAAUACUGCUGAGACACUAGCCACCAAUAAGUAGGGUAAAUAUUGAUAUCUUACCUGCAGAAAGAAGGCACAUCAUCAUGAAUGAUGGCCCAGUUCAGAAUCAACUGAGACACUUAGAGGCCUGUAGUGAGCAUAAAGGUAAAUGCCACUUUUCUCAA
rnacentral:lncRNA from 1 species